GCUGUUUUUCAAAAACUUAACAUUUUAAUAGUUUACAUAUGAAACAAUGACCUUCAUAUGUCCUGAGAGCUAGAAAUUGCAUUUCCAUAAAUCUAUUCUCCAUUUAUUUAUUCACUCAACAGUGUGUUUAGACAAAUACUUAGUGAAGCAAUAUGGUAUAAUUUUAAGAGCAUGGGUCCUGGAGGCAGUUUUCUUUUAAUUCAAAUUUUAGUUCUGUCCUUAGGCAAGUGACCUCACCUCCGCAUACCUCAAUUUGCUCAUUUGUCAUGUAGUAUAAGAGCAGUACCUACCUCGGAGAUUGCUGGUCAACUUGGGGCCUUGGUCAUAGGAAGCAUUCAGCAAGUGUCAGAGUUUUUAAUAUUGAGCACUUUUAUGUGCCAGGCUCUGAGUAAUGUAAACAUGAUUUCUUUCCUAGGGAAGCUUAUAAUCAAUUGGUCACUACUCCUGGAAACUAUUAGAAGGCUCAUACACAUUAUCUCAUUAAUCUUAUGUUCAAAUAGGGAAGGUCGGAGAUGAUGAAACUGAGGCUAAAAGUUUCAGAUAAGCACUCCAAGUUAUAAGUACAGAGAAUUUCCUUUCAGUAAUGUUUAUGUUAGUACUAGGAAGUAAGCUAAAUGUCAGUUAAAAGGGAGUUAUAUAAAUACAUUACACACAGCUGUUCAAUGGAAUAUUAUGCAAUUAUUUUAAAAUACAGCUCUCAGUGUGUUUAAUGACAUGGGUAGUUGUCAAUAAUGUUAAAUGAAUUAAGGGAGUCAAAAAACACUAUGUAUAAUGUGGUUUAAUGUGGGAAGCCAUUCUCACACGUGAUUGGGCACCUCCCAGAUUGGGUGUGAGGCACUCUAGCUAAACUGUGUCGGAGCUUUCCCCACCCUCUCCAGGUGCGAGAGCCUGUCUGUGUGGGGGUGUGACUGACCACUGACCCUGAGGCCAAUCACUGAUCCUGACCUUGGAGUGCUGCCCCCCUUGACCUUCAUUGGAUGGAAUUCUCCCCUGAAUUUCUUGUUCCCCAAUAAAAAGCCACUCCCUGGCGUGCUCUCUCUCUCUCUCCUGCUAGCCCUGAGUAAUCCUUGCUGCCCUACCGGGUGGUUUGAGGUGUGAGCCAGAGAGGUGAGAGCUGUCUCGGACCUGGUCAUAGAAAAAGGUAAUUGAGUCUGUGUGUUUAUUUUGAUCUCACUAGUUAACUUUUAUGCCACGAACCUCUUUAAUGAAAUCAGUGCUCUGGUCGCAUGGUGGAGUUUAAUUUUUGCA
rnacentral:lncRNA from 1 species